AGGCAUCAGUUGUAGUUUUAUACUGGUAGAAAUACUACCGUAUAGCGGGUAUAUUUCGAGGGUAUAAAUGUUCGUGGUUUUCGCUGAUCAAGAAUCUACCGCGAACACUAUCGCAUACAUGCAUGCAAACAGUUAUUCAAUCCGCGAAAACCUUUCUACCGGUCAUUCCGUGAAAGUUUAUACCUUCGAAAUAUACCCGCUAUACAGUAUGUACUUGCAAGUGUAACAGAUUAGACUCUCUCUAGCUUGUUUGUGAGGGAACUAUACCCUCCAUUGAUAGUCAGUGAAGUACCCUUAGAUCUAUAUACACUUUAAGUGUUUCAACUCUGAUUUGACUUUUCAAGCAACAAGAGCACGAGUAAUUCUAGUCCCACUUCAAUCGGCCCCACCAACAGUAAAUAAUAAACUGAUUUGCUUGCAAGUAAUACACCACUGGAUGCCAUAAUUUACAAAUACAUCAUUUUAUUAUUAUAAUAGAUCUGUACUCCUCUUUACAAAAUUCCUGUGCUGUUUUACAGUAUGUAUAAUUGUAUACAUCACUUCCUCAUGCAAGCUCCUACUCAUAAUUAAGUCAUUCAUUGUGUCGGUGAAGACAUUUAUUGUGCUGCUACGUAGCUGAUUAUAGUACACUAAUAAAUCAUGGUAUUAUACUUGUAGUAAAUGAAAAACUUUUAAGCAAUAUUCUAGACUGACGUAAUACAAUACAAUAAUAAAAAUUAUACAGCAUAUCUAAACCUUUAAGCAAUAUUCUAGACUGACGUAAUACCAAUAAUAAAAAUUAUGCAGCAUAUCUCACUGAUAAAACAAUGUAAUGGUUGAUACCUCACACAUAUAAACUGUGCCGGUACGUACUGCUAUAAUUAUAUGCAAGUAUAACAUUGAUGUGCUUAGUAUAACUAUUGCAUGAGGUGGAGGCUGCAGUCAAUGCAUUUGCUAUAAUUAUGUAUAACUCUAUAAUAACAAUCCCCUUCCAGAAAAUAUCACUCACUACUGAGCUGACAAGUAACGAUCAUAGAUUUUCUCCACAACCGUUUGUGUAUUAUAGUCCUCGUCUCUAACUCUCCUCUUGUACCAGCGAGCCAGGAGGCAGUACAGGAUGAAUCCAAGCAGACUGAUGCCUACUCUAAUCCCAUAAAUUGUAAGUGUGAGAUUCAGCGGAAGAUUAUAACUGAUAAUAAAUGAUGAAAACAACACAAGAAUCGUACACCCACCAAACAAUCCUCUCAUGUUGUAUGGAGCUUGAGCACAAACAAACUCCAGCAUGGUACUAAAAAGCAGCAUUGUGAACAAACCUUUAGAAACUGAAUGCAAUAUGUCAAUGAUGAAACAGACUGCCAUUAAAUCACUGUGAUAGUAGUGUACUACUUCCAGAAUUAGGAACACAAUACUGAGAGCCGUUAUGAAGAAAGAGAUUAUUCCAAGUCUUCUAAGGAUGCUGAGAAGUCUAUUUUGUAUUACUGGGUAGAUUACAAACUCAUAUAAGACAGUCCAAACCACACCACACCACCAAGAGUUGUAAGUGAAUAAGGCCAGAAACAUGGAUGAAUAUAGGGUCCAAUUAGGAAGAUAAACCGUAACAGAAGUUGAUGGAUGAAAGAAUGCAAGUGAGCACCCUAGUAACCAUAGUGUUAAGCAGAGGGGCAACAAACGUAAGAUGGUCUUUACAUCUUCAACUUGCUCUGUAGUGAAUGGUCCACCAUACUUAGACUUUCCCAUUUUCCAAGUUCAUUCUUGAAGGUACAUCUUCCUCCCAGUAUGUGAGAGCACUGCGAUUUAGGGGAGCCUUGUGCUUGGCUGCAAACUUGAGAACUUGGUAGAUGGUUUUGAGGGACUGAGGUGACUUUGGCUCAAUUAUCAACCAUUUUUUGGCAAAAAUGAAGUCUGAAACUAAGACACCAGUCAUACAAAAAGGUGGAACUAAACUGUAUAGCUGGAAAAUCAAAAUUGACAAUGUUUUGUUUGAAUAAAAGUGUAUUGAUAAAGUACUGAUCCAAAUACCAGCAAAUAUACUGAAUAUAAACCAGGAAAUAAAGCUGGUGAUACUAGAAGAUGAAGCAUCAGGCAUCUGGUCCAAACCGAGUUGUAGUAAAGUAACCAAGCAUGCCACUGUAGAUACUACAAACGUACGUACCUACACCGAUACAAAAUAAGAAACUUUUAACGUAUAUGUACGGCAUAUUACCAGGGACUAUGGUGCAGGCACUACAACACAAACUUGUGAAAAACAAAAGCACAAAACUGCAUUUCAGAACUCUGUAGUUCCCAAGCUUAGCGUCGGCUAGCCAUCCCGAGAAAACAGCUCCGAACAUACCAAAUAUGGCUGGGAUAGCAUUUACCCACUUAGGAAUGUUCAAGCCAUCAUUUUGUAGAAUUGCGGUGUACGUAAUAUUGAGUACAUGUCCCACAGAGAAACAUGUUAUGGUCAACAGCAUAAUCCAUACCAAAACAAGAAAUGCUCCCUUUGAAUAGAACCACCCCACUCUGUACUUGCACUUGCAUCUUGAUACAAAUGUGGCUUUCAUCGUGAGAUUAGAUUGUAGAAAACUUCAAGAUGCAAAUUAAGGUACUGUAUAACUUAUGAUUGGAUUAUUAUGAACAUAAUGUAGACAAACUAGAAGUCUUCCAUGUUAGUCCAAAACGCAAUCAGUUUCAAUUUACAACUACAUUGUGGCUUCAGUAUAAAACAACAAACAAUAAUGUUUGUAUAGAUACAUACACAUACAGCAUAAUAAACAGUGUGGGCAUAUAGUGUCAUUGCUAGAUCGAUAAGUACACAGAUCGAAACAACCAUGCAAGAGCAUAAAAUCAACAGUGUGGGCAUAUAGUGUCAUUGCUAGAUCGAUAAGUACACAGAGCAAAACAACCAUGCAAGAGCAUAAUCAACAGUGUGGGCAUAUAGUGUCAUUGCUAGAUCGAUAAGUACACAGAUCAAAACAACCAUGCAAGAGCAUAAUCAACAGUGUGGGCAUAUAGUGUCAUUGCUAGAUCGAUAAGUACACAGAUCAAAAUCAACCAUGCAAGAGCUAUUAUUAUAAUUAUUGUCAACGGGGUAUUCCACACCAGCUCAGGACAGGAAGGCUUCGACAGCAUUAUUACAUGCAUAUAGCACUAUACCUGGUGUUAUAAUAAUUAUUAUGUUACCCUUGCUAGAUCUAAGUUGUUUGUUCUCUGCAGCCAGAAGUAGGAAACAAAUUUUAUUUUUGAUUUCAACAAUAUACACACCCAAACAACAGGCUGACAAAGAAAACUUUAAAAGGCAUUAAGAAAUAAGUUCUCUUGUUAUAUAUAUAUAGAGUGAAGCUCAAGUUAACAACAAUGGUUGUGACAUUUCGUUAUUUUUUGCUGUAUACAGCCCUUAUUCGAAUACAACUACUAUAAUAUCAGUUUGCUUUGGCUCUCUUUAUGAUAGUAUAAUGAUUUUAACUUGAUUACUAACAAUUAAUUUACCCCAAAACUUCGAUCUACUCCUAUAUCUAUAACAAUAAUAAUUAUUGGGUUUCAAUAUCAUAUAGCUGAGCAGUUCUAGACAGACUAAGUUUGUCUGUGAAGAUGAGUAACCAGAGACACUUCAUGCUGCUUUUAGCAACAGCUAUCAUCAUCCUACACCACAUCGCAUUUGGACAAGAUUCAAACUGUAUUUGUUCUAUAGAGACGAACGGUCAUCAAAAAGAGUGUGAUAUUACUUUUGAUACGGAGAAGAUUGGAAAUGACACAAUAAUUCGUUUCUGCUCAGUAGAUAUUGAUAUUUCCAAGCCAAUUAUUUUGAGCAAUCUCACCAAUAUCACAUUUGUUGGCAAGAAUAACACUAAAUUAAGAUGCAAUGGGAUCGAAGGCGGCCUAAAGUUUGUACACGUUACCAGCUUGACUAUCAGAAGUCUGAAAAUAGUUGGUUGUGGCUUGGUACAUGACAGUACAACCGAGGACAAGUAUAUGAAUAGCACGAUUCAACUGAGCAGCGCAUUGUACAUUAUUAACUGUACUGACCUUUUCGUUAAUGGACUUUAUGUCUUCAACAAUUCUGGAGUUGGUCUUGUUAUGUAUGAUGUCAGUGGAGUUGUUGAGAUAUUAAAUUCUGUUUUCGAGCACAAUUCACAGCAGAACACAAAAAUUGACGAUAUUUUCUGAGGCGGUGGACUUUACAUUGAAUUCACUGUCUGCGCAACUGGUGUUUACUGCACAGAUUUUAACAGCAAGCCUGAAUAUAUGAGAGCAAGGGGGAAUCGUUAUUUGCUGGCCAACUGCACAUUUGCCAACAACAAAGCUCAGUUCUGGGGCUCAAAAUACAUGCAAUACAAGAAUAACUCACGACUAAAUCACCAAGGGCUGGGCAGAGGUGGUGGACUGUCAAUACAGCUAAGUGGGAAAUCUAACUUCAAUACAUUUACAAUUCGUGACUGUACAUUCAGAGCUAACGAAGCAAAUUGGGGAGGUGGUCUCUACAUAGUCAUACAAGACUCUAGCAGUCACAACAUCAUUAAGCUAUUAAAUCUUACGAUUCAAGAUAAUACGUGUAAACAUUUUGGAGGUGGUGGUGUGGACAUAGGCUACAAUACUGCUUUAAUAUCCAACAAUACAGUGCAUUUUGAUCACUGUACAUUUGAAAGAAACUGGGCAGUUUAUGGGGGAGGGAUUCGAGUCUACUCAAUUCGAAGAGAAAAAUCUGAUUUGCUCAAUGUCUUGGAGUUUUAUCAUUGUAAUUGGACACAAAAUGAAGCUAAAUACGGAUCAGCAAUUGAUAUUGCUCCACAUGUAUGGGAGAUUUUAUCUAAAGGAUUCUUACCAGUACCAGUGUUUCAUAACUGUGAAUUCAGAUCAAAUACAGUGAGUUUGGAUUCUCAGAACUAUACAGGUUAUGAAAAUGGAAGGGGUUCAAUGAUGCUUACAGAUUUCAAUGCAAUAUUUAGUGGUUUGAUAAUAUUUGAAGGUAACUCAGGCUCUGCACUCUACCUUUCAUCCAGUAUCAUUACAACAAGACCUGAGACCAUAUGCAAGUUUGUCGGAAAUGACGGAUUUGAAGGUGGUGCAAUUGCAUUUGUUGGAUUAUCAGCUUUGUUUGUGAUGGAAAAAAACUCAUUUACUUUCAAUAAAAACACUGCUUUGAGAAGGGGUGGAGCUAUCUAUGAGUACAACAUUGACAAACACAACUUUGUAUCAUCGAGAAGUUGUUUUAUUCAAUAUCAUGGAUCUGUUGACUCAAAAAAUUCGAAUGUAACAUUUGAAUUUAAAGACAAUUACGCUGAGAUUGCCGAGGGCAAUCAAACUGAAUGUUACGCUGCUGGCCAUGACAUCUUCUCUCCUUCAUUACAAACGUGUAUUACUGCAUGCAAUCAUCCAACUGAGGGAUUCGAACGUACAACUCAUCACUAUGCACAUACAUUCACCUGUGUCGGUACAUUCAUUUUCCAUGGUGCCGAUAUCAAAUGUCAUCUAUCAACUUCAGGAGGACAAUUUCAAAUAAACAAAACAAUGUUUCUUGGUGACAACCAGUACUUUAAAGUAUACCCUGGACGUAAAACUAAUUUGCCAAUAUCAGUAAUAAAUGAUUACUACCAAACAAUAGAUGCAGUAUACUACGCAAUACUAAGUCAAAAUACAUCAAGUGUCAAACUCGGUCAACCGUACACGUAUAUAUCCAAUAGAAAGGUACAACUAAAUGGGCAACCUGGAAGUGAUAGUGUGCUAAGACUACAAAAAUUAGGAUAUCGCGAAUUGAGGCUUAACAUCAAUAUAUCUCUCUUGGAAUGCCCACCAGGGUAUUUUUUGGAUGAAUCUACUGAAAGCUGCGUUUGCAGUGCUUCAACUUUGGAAACGGCAUUUCGACCCAUACACCAGUGUGAUUAUAAACUAUUUCAAGCACAUUUGCAAAAAGGAUACUGGUUUGGGUUCAAUAACAACACACGUAAUUUUGAAUACGGAUACUGUCCUGGUGGCUAUUGUAAUCACUUUGAUCAAAACUCAGUCUUACCUAAAACUAAAGAGAUGCUUGACAAGGAGGUCUGUGGCAUUUAUCAAACUGGAAGGCUCUGUGGUGAAUGUCGAGAGAAUUAUUCCGUUCAUUAUCAUGGGAUGAAUCACAACUGUCAAAAAAAUGAAUCGUGUGAUUACGGAUGGCUUCUUUACAUUAUAUCUGAGCUUUUCCCACUAACUGUUUUAUUUGUCUUGACAACUGUACUAAACAUUAGUUUCACAUCUGGCGCAGUCAAUGGAUUUAUUUUCUUUUCACAAGUGAUUGAUUCUAUACCUGUCACUGGAAAUUCAUUCAUCAUAUUUCCAAAUCCAGUGUAUCAUAUAUACACAAUAACCAGAAUGAUCUACAAUGUGUUCAAUUUAGAUUUCUUCCUUCAUGAUAACCUUUCAUUUUGCCUAUGGAGAGGAGCCACAACAAUGGAUAUGCUUAUGUUCAAGUUUACAACUGUUGUUUAUGUACUUCUUUUGGUAAUCAUAACUGUUGGCCUGAUAAACUACUGUAAUAUUCUGCAGAAAUGCAGUUGUUUUCGUUACUCUACUAUUAAGUCGUCCAUUAUACACGGUUUAUCAGCAGUGCUCGUGAUUGUGUUUUCCCGAUGCUUCAAAGUUUGUAGUCAAAUCCUUAAUAUCACCCAUGUAUACGGCCAGGGUAAUAUCUUCUAUCAAACUGUUGUAUUUCUUCAAGGUAACUUGACGCCAUUUUCAGGGGAUCAUCUGAAGUAUGCUAUUUUUGCAGUUCUGUGCAUGCUCAUCAUGUUUAUUCCAAUGCUGCUUCUACUAAUAAUUUAUAUCCAUUUUGUUUCAAACUGUUGUCCAUUUGUAAAUGUGUUGAUACAAGUUCAACAUUGUACGACUUCAGAAGGAGUUAAGAGGUCGACCUACAAAACUGAGGCUGUAUGCCAUCAACAUUGGCUACGCUGUGAUUGCGUAUACAAUCUUCAAUAUUGCGGUUUUUGCAGGAUAUUUUAGGUUUUUUGAAGACUUGAAGGAAAAUGUAAUAUUAAACUACUCGAGGCGUAACUACCUGUUGAUAGCUGCUCGUGUGGCCCUGCUUUUCAUGCUAAUCACCAAUUACCCUGUGGGACUGCACCCGGGCAGAGACGCUACAAACAGUGUGUUCCUACUGGUACACGACCUUAUUUCAAGUAAAUUCUGCAAGAAAAAGAAGUCGACGAAGAAUGGUCAAAAUACUAAUUUGAGAGCAAAUGGAGAAUCUGAAAAUGUUAAUACCGUCGAAACUGAUAUGCAAUCGCCCAAACCUGACAGUGUAAGUGAUAAGGACGAAUUACAGUCUCUUUCAGAAUGCAGUGGGAGCACUGGCAAGGAAGAUUCAAGAGUCAGCUGGUGAAUCUAAACAUGGCAAUCAUAAGGUUCCGACAGUAAUCUGGUUCUGUGAGACCUACAUGUUUUUUGCACUCUCGUUCAUACCAGCCAGCUUCAUCUUGAACGUUGGAAUCGUAUGGAACUUUGUCAGCUCUAUAGGAGGAGUGCUUAUCCUCUACAUCUACCCU